GCCCGGGUGGCGAAACUGGCAGACGCUUGGGACUUAAAAUCCUUUGGGGGCAACCCCGUGCGGGUUCGAUUCCCGCCCCGGGCA
rnacentral:tRNA from 1 species